CUCAGAUGUUAGAGACAUUAAUGCAGCAAAUGACUCAUUCAAGUGGACUUAAAUCAGUUCGUGACGAAUGCAAAUAGGAAGGAGGUAAAUCAAUGAUCGAAGAAAUAUAAACAAACACUUAUGGAAUAGUGUAAAACACCGCUAUAAACAAACAAAUCAAAUGAAAAAGUGAGAAAAAAUGAAUUGUUACCUUCCCAGAAGAGGCUGGAUCUUGAACAGGACUGUCAGACACUGUAUUUAUGUUAUUCCUGCUCCCAAUAAUAGUUCUUAUUUCGAUAUUUUCUGACAUAGUUACAGCAACAAACUAAUGUUACGUCUCGGCCACAGCAACCUCACUACUAACAACAAAACAUCCAGCUCGCCAAAUGCCAACUCGGAAAUAAAUUCCUUCAGGCGUUAAGCCCAAUAUUUAAUUCAAUCCAGACGGCUGAUCCCUUCAAAGAUAACGAUUGUUUUGGUGGUACUCAUUUGUAACGGACAUUAACAAUAUGUUGUUUUUAUUGAUUUACAAAUGCGUAAACAACUUUUGCGAAUAAAAACACAUUUCUGUAAAUAGCGCAAAUCCAAGGUCAUUGAAUUCACCGGGACAGGCGGCUAACUUCAUGUCGUUGCCCGAAUUCGAAAAUUUUUUUUUGCAGGGAUUUUUUAAAUGUCACGUUUGAAAUAUGUAUGAACAUUACUGAAACGUUGAAAUUUAGCUCAAUUUUUAAACAUAUUUUAAGUUUUAGCUGUGUGCUGAGUGUAUUACAGUUUUCUCUAUUUUCUUUAAUUGUUUUUUGGAUUUUCUUCUUAAUGGGGUACCUGAUUGUAUCGAAUAACUACCAGUUCCCAGCUUUUCGUAAGUUAAUUCUGAUAAUCUAACGUUGUAUUAUAUUAUUUAUUGUUGCUAUUGAAUUAAACAAUGUAAAAAUUUGAACAUGUUUCUACAUGUACUGUUAAAUAUAUUAAUUAAUAUAUGUUGCCAUUGGGCAUAAUUCAAUAAUGGAGAUUUAAUUUUUUCAUUCAUAAUUUAUUGUUUAUUAUGCACAGUAGUGGUCAGAAAAAUAGCACAAAACUGCAAAAUAUUUCAUAAAAGGAUUUAAUUCAAAAUAUGUUCAGUACGUAUAUAAAAUAUAUUUUGAAUAUUCUAUAGAUUUUUUUACUUUUGUGACGCAACAAUAUAUAUUCUUAGUAGGAUUUAUUCUUAGUAAAAUUUUUAUUCUUUUAUUGAAUAACUCACUUUUAGUGAGAAAAAAGAAUGCACUCAAGAGAAGAGGGAAAUAAUAAUUAACAUCUAAUAUCUUCAAAAACUUAGAUACUUAAUCAACAAAACUAGCAAGGAUGUAUUUCGGUAAAGAAAUUAUUGGUAUUAAAAAGAAUAUCUGAACAAGACUAAAGUUUGCACAAAAACAUUAUCUUCUAGAAUUUUAACAUAGAGUACUUUGAAAUGAUGAAUCCAACCUUAAUAGAAUAAGAUCAGAUGGUAAACAAUACGUUCGUCCUCCAAAUACAAGUUUGGAUCCUAUAUACACCACAAAAAUUUUGAAAUCUGGUGGAGGUCCUUCUGUACCUAUUGGUAAAAUGAACCGUUUCGUGUAGACAUUGGAGAGAUGUAAUCGAACUAUUUAUCAACGAUAAUUUAUCAAUUAAGUUGAUUUUUAUGCCUGAAUCUACGCUUUGUCGUUUACAGGCGGUUACAAAAGGUAUCCAACAAAAUAUUAAUAAUUUUAAUAUUAAUAAAUCGUAUAUAAAUUAUGAAAUAUAUAUUUAUGGAAUGUAUUCUAUUUCUGUGAGCAGCCACAUUGUUUAUUUAUUUGGUUCAAGUAGAAAUUAUAUUAAUAAAAAAUUGUAGAAAAAAUAUAUGUAUAUUAUUUUAAAUAAAUUA